GACUCCGCAUGGUAGUGGCAUGACAAAUAAAGCUUCAAUUCCAGAGAUACAGGAGGUUCAUAUUAGUUGAAUACUUUAUGCCGUAAGCAUUAUAACUAGAAGUACGUUUCAAAUUUCAUUUGACGUCAUGCAAUUUGGAAUUCUGUCUCCAAUCUUUGGCAUAUAACAGGAAUUUCUUAAUUUCUACACUGGUUAGUAAUAGGGG
rnacentral:lncRNA from 1 species